CGCUCCCUAUAUAGAGCCGCGGCGACGGCUAGAGCUCGCGCCGCCGCCGCUAUCGCAAGUCUCUCUUCGUCCGGCCCCCACUCCCCCUCCGAGAGGGUGAGCGCGAGAGGGGUCGCGCCGGCGAGCGAGCUCCCCCGCCGCCGCGAUGAGGGCCAAGUGGAAGAAGAAGCGGAUGAGGCGGCUCAAGAGGAAGCGCCGAAAGAUGAGGCAGAGAUCCAAGUAGACAGAUUUGCCUCGUCCGUGCUCGGGAUUCUGCAGUUCGGUUGCACUUUACUGAUCAAUUCUAGUUUUCCGUAGUAUAAAGGGUUGUCUCUGAAACCAUUGGUGAGCAGUGCGUGUCUGUUUUGUAAUGAAUACAAUGUUCAUCUGAAAUUCUGAAUAUGGUUCCGCAACAUUUUUCAGAGAAUAAUCUUCCCAGGACGUGUUUGUUACUUAUUGGCUAAUGGUAACCCGUUUCUUGAUUUGAA